rnacentral:rRNA from 1 species
UUGCUUCUCCGGAUGAGUUGCGAACGGGUGAGUAACGCGUAGGUAACCUGCCUGGUAGCGGGGGAUAACUAUUGGAAACGAUAGCUAAUACCGCAUAACAGUAGAUAUUGCAUGAUAUCUGCUUGAAAGGUGCAAUUGCAUCACUACCAGAUGGACCUGCGUUGUAUUAGCUAGUUGGUGAGGUAACGGCUCACCAAGGCGACGAUACAUAGCCGACCUGAGGGGGUGAUCGGCCACACUGGGACUGAGACACGGCCCAGACUCCUACGGGAGGCAGCAGUAGGGAAUCUUCGGCAAUGGACGGAAGUCUGACCGAGCAACGCCGCGUGAGUGAAGAAGGUUUUCGGAUCGUAAAGCUCUGUUGUAAGAGAAGAACGAGUGUGAGAGUGGAAAGUUCACACUGUGACGGUAUCUUACCAGAAAGGGACGGCUAACUACGUGCCAGCAGCCGCGGUAAUACGUAGGUCCCGAGCGUUGUCCGGAUUUAUUGGGCGUAAAGCGAGCGCAGGCGGUUAGAUAAGUCUGAAGUUAAAGGCUGUGGCUUAACCAUAGUACGCUUUGGAAACUGUUUAACUUGAGUGCAAGAGGGGAGAGUGGAAUUCCAUGUGUAGCGGUGAAAUGCGUAGAUAUAUGGAGGAACACCGGUGGCGAAAGCGGCUCUCUG